AGAGUUUGAUCCUGGCUCAGGAUGAACGCUAGCUACAGGCUUAACACAUGCAAGUCGAGGGGCAUCAGUUUGGUUUGCUUGCAAACCAAAGCUGGCGACCGGCGCACGGGUGAGUAACACGUAUCCAACCUGCCUCAUACUCGGGGAUAGCCUUUCGAAAGAAAGACUAAUACCCAAUGACGUCUCUAGAAGACAUCUGAAAGAGAUUAAAGAUUUAUCGGUGAUGGAUGGGGAUGCGUCUGAUUAGCUUGUUGGCGGGGUAACGGCCCACCAAGGCGACGAUCAGUAGGGGUUCUGAGAGGAAGGCCCCCCACAUUGGAACUGAGACACGGUCCAAACUCCUACGGGAGGCAGCA
rnacentral:rRNA from 1 species